rnacentral:rRNA from 1 species
GACGAACGCUGGCGGCGUGCUUAACACAUGCAAGUCGAACGGAAAGGCCCUGCUUUUGUGGGGUGCUCGAGUGGCGAACGGGUGAGUAACACGUGAGUAACCUGCCCUUGACUUUGGGAUAACUUCAGGAAACUGGGGCUAAUACCGGAUAGGAGCUCCUGCUGCAUGGUGGGGGUUGGAAAGUUUCGGCGGUUGGGGAUGGAUUCGCGGCUUAUCAGCUUGUUGGUGGGGUAGUGGCUUACCAAGGCUUUGACGGGUAGCCGGCCUGAGAGGGUGACCGGCCACAUUGGGACUGAGAUACGGCCCAGACUCCUACGGGAGGCAGCAGUGGGGAAUAUUGCACAAUGGGCGGAAGCCUGAUGCAGCAACGCCGCGUGCGGGAUGACGGCCUUCGGGUUGUAAACCGCUUUCGCCUGUGACGAAGCGUGAGUGACGGUAAUGGGUAAAGAAGCACCGGCUAGCUACGUG